CGCGGGAUGGAGCAGUUGGUAGCUCGUCGGGCUCAUAACCCGAAGGUCGCAGGUUCGAGUCCUGCUCCCGCAACCA
rnacentral:tRNA from 3 species